AGAGUUUGAUCAUGGCUCAGAUUGAACGCUGGCGGCAUGCCUUACACAUGCAAGUCGAACGGCAGCACGGGAGCAAUCCUGGUGGCGAGUGGCGAACGGGUGAGUAAUAUAUCGGAACGUGCCCAGUCGUGGGGGAUAACGUAGCGAAAGCUACGCUAAUACCGCAUACGAUCUACGGAUGAAAGCGGGGGACCUGUAAGGGCCUCGCGCGAUUGGAGCGGCCGAUAUCAGAUUAGGUUGUUGGUGAGGUAAAAGCUCACCAAGCCUGCGAUCUGUAGCUGGUCUGAGAGGACGACCAGCCACACUGGAACUGAGACACGGUCCAGACUCCUACGGGAGGCAGCAGUGGGGAAUUUUGGACAAUGGACGCAAGUCUGAUCCAGCAAUGCCGCGUGCAGGACGAAGGCCUUCGGGUUGUAAACUGCUUUUGUACGGAACGAAACGGUCUUCUUUAAUACAGAGGGCUAAUGACGGUACCGUAAGAAUAAGCAUCGGCUAACUCCGUGCCAGCAGCCGCGGUAAGACGGAGGAUGCAAGUGUUAUCCGGAAUCACUGGGCGUAAAGCGUCUGUAGGUGGUUUAAUAAGUCAACUGUUAAAUCUUGAGGCUCAACCUCGAAAUCGCAGUCGAAACUAUUAGACUAGAGUAUAGUAGGGGUAAAGGGAAUUUCCAGUGGAGCGGUGAAAUGCGUAGAGAUUGGAAAGAACACCGAUGGCGAAGGC
rnacentral:rRNA from 1 species